rnacentral:tRNA from 1 species
GGUUUGUGGCUUAGUGGCAGAGCAUUUGCCUAGCACGCGUGAGGCACUGGGCUCAAGCCUCAGCACCA